rnacentral:rRNA from 1 species
UGAGUAGGGCGGGACACGUGGUAUCCUGUCUGAAUAUGGGGGGACCAUCCUCCAAGGCUAAAUACUCCUGACUGACCGAUAGUGAACCAGUACCGUGAGGGAAAGGCGAAAAGAACCCCGGCGAGGGGAGUGAAAAAGAACCUGAAACCGUGUACGUACAAGCAGUGGGAGCCUCUUAAUGGGGUGACUGCGUACCUUUUGUAUAAUGGGUCAGCGACUUAUAUUCUGUAGCAAGGUUAACCGAAUAGGGGAGCCGAAGGGAAACCGAGUCUUAACUGGGCGUUAAGUUGCAGGGUAUAGACCCGAAACCCGGUGAUCUAGCCAUGGGCAGGUUGAAGGUUGGGUAACACUAACUGGAGGACCGAACCGACUAAUGUUGAAAAAUUAGCGGAUGACUUGUGGCUGGGGGUGAAAGGCCAAUCAAACCGGGAGAUAGCUGGUUCUCCCCGAAAGCUAUUUAGGUAGCGCCUCGUGAAUUCAUCUCCGGGGGUAGAGCACUGUUUCGGCAAGGGGGUCAUCCCGACUUACCAACCCGAUGCAAACUGCGAAUACCGGAGAAUGUUAUCACGGGAGACACACGGCGGGUGCUAACGUCCGUCGUGAAGAGGGAAACAACCCAGACCGCCAGCUAAGGUCCCAAAGUCAUGGUUAAGUGGGAAACGAUGUGGGAAGGCCCAGACAGCCAGGAUGUUGGCUUAGAAGCAGCCAUCAUUUAAAGAAAGCGUAAUAGCUCACUGGUCGAGUCGGCCUGCGCGGAAGAUGUAACGGGGCUAAACCAUGCACCGAAGCUGCGGCAGCGACACUAUGUGUUGUUGGGUAGGGGAGCG